GUCUGCUCCACUGUAAAGUGGGUAUAAUAACAUCAACCUCAUUCGUGAGAGUCAAAGGAGAUAUUCCUAAAGGGCUUUGCUUCAAUGGCAAAGUGCUCCAUAAUUGCUCCCUAUUACUACUAUUCUUCUCAUCACCAUCCUAAGGAAAAUGGCCCUAAUUAUGAGAAGAGGCAGCCAAGGAAGAUUUGGCUUCAAAUCCCACCUCAGUUACUUGCUAGUUCCAAGGCUCAGACAAGCUUCCUGACCUUUUGGGCUCCCUGAGCUCUUGAGGUCUUUUCUUCAUUCAGAGAGCUACUCCCAAGGUAAUGGGCUGUCUAGAGGAUGAGGUGAGGACAAGGCCUUCCCCCCCACCCCCGCUCCAUUGUACUGGGGCCAUCUUACUCUGAGGACUGAUUCUAAGAUUGACACCUCAGAAAUGAGCAAACGCUACAAGUCAGCAUGUGCUUGGUGGUUCAGAGGAGUAUUACUAAUGCAGUCAACUUCUGGGAGGCCAGUUGUUAAACAUUUUACAAGGAAACCUCUGCCUCUUCAUUGGAAGCCUUCAAACAAAGGCUAGAGAACCAUGGAGUGUUCCGACAUCACAGAAGGGAUUCUUAUUCAGGCAUGGCUUGGCCUCUGGGCCUGGGAAGCCAGAGGCCGGGUUCUAAGAGGUUUCCAUCCCUGUUGGUAAACAGAGAGCUCCUCAUCAGCUGGCGAGUUCCCUGGCAGUGUUGGGAGAUGGACAGCAGAUCCUUCCCCAGUGGGUCCUGGAGAUUACUGUGGACUCCAAAGCAACACCUGGAGGUACCAUGCUAAGGAAGUCCUAGGAGUACAGCAAAAGAAAGCAAGCCCCUUUGACUCUUCAGGACAACACACAGAAGAGGAUGCUGGCUAUUCCAUGCAAAAAUCUGUACUGAGAUAUACAGUGUCCAUGGAAGGUAGCUUUAAAUUGGAGAUGUAGGACUUUGGUUGAUUCACUACCAUGGGCCUCUAUAAAAUGAGGGAGUUAGUCUAGAUGGCAUAAGAAGCCCCUUCUGCCUCCAGCUCUAGGAUCCUGUAAACAUGGUCCCAGAACAGGUCAGACCAGCAGAAGCCCUAGUUCAGUGAUGGUGAACCUUUUAGAGACCAAGUGCCCAAGCUGCAACCUCACUCCUAUUGGGCAGCUGGGCAGAGGGGCCAUGGAUGAGAGAAAUGUCCUCAAGCAUGGUGGAGAUAGGGAGGGGCAGAGGGGGGAGGGAGGGAGAGAGGAAAGCAGAGAAAGAAAAGC
rnacentral:lncRNA from 1 species